rnacentral:tRNA from 1 species
GCGGGGGUAGUCAAGCCCGGCCAAAGACGCAGGACUUAGGAUCCUGUCCUUAGUGGUCCGCCGGUUCAAAUCCGGCCCCCCGCACCA